rnacentral:rRNA from 1 species
CCUACGGGGGGCAGCAGUAGGGAAUCUUCCACAAUGGGCGAAAGCCUGAUGGAGCAACGCCGCGUGGGUGAAGAAGGUCUUCGGAUCGUAAAACCCUGUUGUUAGAGAAGAAAGUGCGUGAGAGUAACUGUUCACGUUUCGACGGUAUCUAACCAGAAAGCCACGGCUAAAUACGUGCCAGCAGCCGCGGUAAUACGUAGGUGGCAAGCGUUAUCCGGUUUUAUUGGGCGUAAAGGGAACGCAGGCGGUCUUUUAAGUCUGAUGUGAAAGCCUUCGGCUUAACCGGAGUAGUGCAUUGGAAACUGGGAGACGUGAGUGCAGGAGAGGAGAGUGGAACUCCAGGUGUAGCGGUGAAAUGCGUAGAUAUAUGGAAGAACACCAGUGGCGAAGGCGGCUCUCUGGUCUGUAACUGACGCUGAGGUUCGAAAGCGUGGGUAGCAAACAGGAUUAGAUACCCCUGUAGUC